rnacentral:rRNA from 1 species
CACGUAGGGUGCGAGCGUUGUCCGGAAUUAUUGGGCGUAAAGAGCUCGUAGGCGGUGUGUCGCGUCGGCCGUGAAAACCUGCAGCUUAACUGUGGGCUUGCGGUCGAUACGGGCAGGCUGGAGUUCGGUAGGGGAGACUGGAAUUCCUGGUGUAGCGGUGAAAUGCGCAGAUAUCAGGAGGAACACCGGUGGCGAAGGCGGGUCUCUGGGCAUUAACUGACGCUGAGGAGCGAAAGCAUGGGGAGCGAACAGG